CAGGGUAUAUCCUCAGGCUACGAGGAUCAUCCAGUGCGAAUGGCACUGGUCGUGUGGAAAUAUUACACAAUGGACAAUGGGGAACAGUUUGUGAUGAUAAUUGGGAUACAAAUGAUGCUGCGGUUGCAUGUCGUCAACUUGGAUAUCAAAAUGCUGUUAGAGCUCUUCAAGGUGGUCAGGUUCCUCGUGGUUCCGGACAGAUAUGGUUAGACGAGGUCGCUUGUAGUGGUAGAGAACAAAAUUUGAGCAGUUGUUCUCAUAAGGGAUGGGGA